UGUGUGUGAGCAGCCUGAGAGCAAGAGGGGAUGAGGGACCCAGAAAAAUUGGAAGCGUGGAGCUACAAGAUCAAAGGAGAGAGGGUGUUGGGUGCACAUUUGUCACCUGGGAAUACUACCAGCAAGCCUCAUAUUUUUUCUGCAAUAAAUGCUGGAAAGGAAAAAGAAAUGCUGAAAAUGAUGAAGUAAUUCCAAUUCUGCUGAUAGAGACCUGGAAAUGCACUAGGGAAAAAUGACAAGAGUGUAACACACUGCUGCUGAUUAUGUCAUAAUGAUUAUUUUAUGCAGUUUGAAGAAGACUCACUGUUCUAAAGAACCAGCAUCCACUUCCAGGAAAGAGCAGGGAUUCUUUAUCCAUACCUCCAUGGGAUGAACCACAUUGAAAAUAAUGAUUUCCUUCAAAUAGCUUACUCUACAUUAUAUAAAGAAUUCCUUGGGAUUCUCAAAAAAACCUAAUAAUAUAGUAAUAAUAAUAACAGGUUUGUUUUUGCUGUUUGUAGUCUAAUAUUCAGAUUGUGAGCAGCUGUUUUGGAAGGCAAGAUGAGUGAAUAGAUGUGAAGUCGUCUUAGAAAUGUCCAGGCUUCCAAAAGAAAUUUCACUUUUAAAAGAAAAUAGCCUAAUGUGAACCACAUUAGAAUCAGCACAUCUAAUCCUAUGGAGAAAAAGUGACCAUGGCUGUCUACACAUAUAGGCAGGUCAUUCAAGCUCAUUCAAAAAUUCCACUUUCACUGGUGGUCUGUCUGUGUCCACAUGGUGACAAAUGGCCCCGGCAGGGUUUUCGAGGUGUUGGCGCCACCAGUGAGUGCCGGAUGGAAUGUGGUGAAAGUUCUGAUUUGUACCUUUCAGACUAAAGGUACUUUCCAGAAUGGACGGGUCCUUCUGGCUGCCUUUUGUAAGUGCAGCCACAGGUAUUCUGUUGAAGCCUGUGGGCGAGAAAGACAUAAACAGGUGCUAUAAAUUUGUCAGACCAGGAAGCCACAGGCCGUUUAGUAAAUGGUAAACCCAAUGGCCCAAAAGAACAAAGGGGUCUCUUUUCAUCAGAAUGAUCAGGCUCAUUCAACAAAUAUUUAUUGAGCACCCACUUUCUGCCAGAUGGAAGAGCCACUGACAAGGCCUCUUAUUUAAAGAGUGCCUGAAGUGAGGAAGCAAACCCCCAAAUCAUCUGGGAUGGUAUGAACUGAACUCUGGACUGCAACAUGAUGGAAAGGAGGAGCUGGGGUCCCAAGGGCAGUCCAGACAACCUGAACCUGUGACACUCACCCUGCCCACACACUCUCAGAGCUGCGGCUUUCACGGGGGUGAGUUUUCUGCCUUGAUUUACUCAGGCCAAGACCUUUCAUUUUCUGGAGAAAAUACAGGUUUUUCUGUAGUAUUUCACAAACAAGGCAAUUCUCUCAGGGAAGUGAAACAGCAUUGCUUCUCAACUGAAGUCUGAAUUUCAUCUUCCCAAGUUUAUAUCGUUGAGUCACAAUUAUUGAGUCAUAAAGACCAAAAAGGAUGUUGAAAGUUAAUUUAUUUACCACACUAUGGCUUAGACUAUUCUAGAAAUAUGAAAAUAUCUCCUAUUAAGGCAGACUUUCUGAGGAGAAACCAUUGCUUUUUCAACUAAUGUUUUAUCAUGUUUUAUUGCCUUCAUAGUUAACUAUUUUUUUAAAUCAUAUCUAACAUAAGUCCCUCCAGCAGCAUUUUAUAUCUCUUUUACAAUACUUUGCCCCUGGAUAGUUGAAUAAUAGUUCAUCAAGCCUCAUAUAACAGUAAUUAAAUUGUCACCUUGGUGUUUUUCAGACCCAAUUCUUGCUAAUUCUUUGUAGGUGACAUGAAUGCUUGUAAAUGAGCUUGCUGAAUGGGAGACCAAGAACAAUGAUGAUAUUGAGCUGUUACUACAUGCCAGACAUUUAACCCUUUCAUCCAGGUUAUCGCAAUCAUUCCUUACAGAAAGGCUUUUGAGAGGUCAAUGCUCGUUAGAUAUAGACUUAUCAACUUCAAGUGAAGACAGGUUGAAAACAUCUAGAAUAAAAUAAAGAGAAGAUUUCUGAGCCUCAUAGUCUCUCAUCGCAUCUCCCAGGACACAGCAAGAAGAUGGCUGUCUAUGAACCUGAAUAUGUCUAGCCCUCACCAGACACUGAAUCUGCGAGAACCUUGAUCUUGGAUUUCCAGCCUCCAGAGUUGUGAGAGCGAAAUUUCUGUUGUUUGUAAACCACCCAGUCUAUGGUAUUCUGUUAUAGCAGCCUGAACAGACUAAUAUAAAGACAAUAAGGAGAAUUUGCUAGCAAGAUGGAAGCCACAAUCUUUUGUAACCUAAUCACAGAAGUGACAGCCUAUCACUUUUGCCUUAUUGUGUUUAUUAGAAGCAAGUCACUAGGUCUAGCCUACCCUCAGGGGAAAGAAAUUCCACCAGGGCACAAAUGCCAGGAGAUGGGUAUCAGUGGAGACCAUCUGAGAAGUCUGCCUACUAAGGCUUUCCAUGUCUACCUCGGAACAAGGGAAUCUAUCAUGAUUAUUGCAUGUGCCCUGAGCACUGGGUUUAGAUGACA